rnacentral:tRNA from 1 species
GGGCGGCUAACUCAGCGGGAGAGUGCUACCUUCACACGGUAGAAGUCACAGGUUCAAACCCUGUGCCGCCCACCA